rnacentral:rRNA from 1 species
AUUGAACGCUGGCGGCAGGCUUAACACAUGCAAGUCGAGCGGGGGAAGGUAGCUUGCUACCGGACCUAGCGGCGGACGGGUGAGUAAUGCUUAGGAAUCUGCCUAUUAGUGGGGGACAACAUCUCGCAAGGGAUGCUAAUACCGCCUACGUCCUACGGGAGAAAGCAGGGGAUCUUUGGACCUUGCGCUAAUAGAUGAGCCUAAGUCGGAUUAGCUAGUUGGUGGGGUAAAGGCCUACCAAGGCGACGAUCUGUAGCGGGUCUGAGAGGAUGAUCCGCCACACUGGGACUGAGACACGGCCCAGACUCCUACGGGAGGCAGCAGUGGGGAAUAUUGGACAAUGGGGGGAACCCUGAUCCAGCCAUGCCGCGUGUGUGAAGAAGGCCUUAUGGUUGUAAAGCACUUUAAGCGAGGAGGAGGCUACUUUAGUUAAUACCUAGAGAUAGUGGACGUUACUCGCAGAAUAAGCACCGGCUAACUCUGUGCCAGCAGCCGCGGUAA